AAUAUAAAGGCAAACUCCUUGAAAAGGGAUGUACGCAAAGCUAUAGGGCCUUCAUCUGAAUAGAUAUGGUAGCCAGUUA
rnacentral:ncRNA from 1 species